GUGCUCACUUCAGCAGCACAUAUACUAAAAUUGGAACAAUACAGAAGAGAUUAGCAUGGCCCCUGCACAAGGAUGACAUGCAAAUUCAUGAAGCAUUCUAUAUUUUU